rnacentral:rRNA from 1 species
UUCCGGUUGAUCCUGCCGGACCUGACUGCUAUCGGAUUGAUACUAAGCCAUGCGAGUCAUUGUAGCAAUACAAGGCAGACGGCUCAGUAACGCGUAGUCAACCUACCCUAUGGACGGGAAUAACCUCGGGAAACUGAGUAUAAUGCCCGAUAGAACACUAUACCUGGAAUGGUUUGUGUUUCAAAUGAUUUAUUGCCGUAGGAUGGGACUGCGGCCUAUCAGUUUGUUGGUGAGGUAAUGGCCCACCAAGACUAUUACAGGUACGGGCUCUGAGAGGAGUGGCCCGGAGAUGGGUACUGAGACACGGACCCAGGCCCUAUGGGGCGCAGCAGGCGAGAAAACUUUGCAAUGUGCGAAAGCACGACAAGGUUAAUCCGAGUGGUUUCUGCUAAAGGAACCUUUUGUUAGUCCUAGAAACACUAACGAAUAAGGGGUGGGCAAGUUCUGGUGUCAGCCGCCGCGGUAAAACCAGCACCUCGAGUGGUCAGGAUGAUUAUUGGGCCUAAAGCAUCCGUAGCCGGCUCAGUAAGUUUUCGGUUAAAUCUGUACGCUCAACGUACAGGCUGCCGGGAAUACUGCAGAGCUAGGGAGUGGGAGAGGUAGACGGUACUCGGGAGGAAGUGGUAAAAUGCUUUGAUCUUUCGAUGACCACCUGUGGCGAGGGCGGUCUACCAGAACACGUCCGACGGUGAGGGAUGAAGGCUGGGGGAGCAAACCGGAUUAGAUACCCGGGUAGUCCCAGCUGUAAACUAUGCAAACUCAGUGAUGCAUUGGCUUGUGGCCAAUGCAGUGUUGCAGGGAAGCCGUUAAGUUUGCCGCCUGGGAAGUACGUACGCAAGUAUGAAACUUAAAGGAAUUGGCGGGGGAGCACCACAAGGGGUGAAGCCUGCGGUUCAAUUGGACUCAACGCCGGG